AUUGGACAGGAAGAGGGCUAAAACAAGGGUAAAUAUUGGCAAGGCCUUUCCAGGUGGAGAUGACUUCGAGACAAGCUAGAACCACAGUAAAGACUCUGAUCUCGUAUGUGUUGCUGCUAGACAGAAAAAAUUGGGGAGAUGGACGGUCUCUGCCUAAGUCAUGAAGGACUACAGUGACAUCCUGGAUCUGCAGGCAGCCAUUCUGUCCCUGCUCCAUUGACAGACUCCAUAGUUGAGUCCCACAUCAGGAGAAGGCCAAGGGGUCAGCUCUGCACCACAAGAGACGAGCAAUGGACAAGAACCUGGUUCACCUGAACCCCAGUGUUCUGAACUCAAUGGUCAACUGAACUAGCUCGACUGCUUAUUAUAUUUUAUUUUUUAUCUAUUAAGGCACAUCAUCUAUCAAACCCUAAUUGUCUGCACAUUUGCUACCUCACAAAACUGUGUUAAAAUGUUCAUAGAGUCAAUGCAAGGUAAAAAGUCUACUCUAAAGGAAUGUUUAUUUUUUAAUCAAAUCUAAAUAAAGGCCUUUUGAUGUAUA